AUCAGAUUUUCCAGGAAGUAAAAUAUGAUCCUGGAAGUGUUUUCCUUAUAUUUCAUUGAUGGCUGCCCUGCCUGUCCAUCUAAAGGAUGUCAAUAAUAAUGCUGCAGAUUGCCAAUCUCUGGUUUCAACAUUGAGUGUCACUGUACUUAACGAUGGAAGUGUAAUCCAUUUGCCAACAUAUCAAGUGCACAGUCAGUACCGCCAAAGUGCAAGACUUCGCAUUCAUGUUGAGAGAGCCAAUCAACGACUCAAGACCUUUCAAUUUUAUCGGAUGUCAUGCCUUUAACUUUGAAGUCAAUCGGAAACCAAAUCUUGGGUGUAACUGCUUUUCUCUGCAACAGUGAUUCUUCACUUGUUAAAAAGUGAAAAAAUGUACAUUUUCCAUUUAAGAUUCUACAUGGGAAACAUCUGUUCUCCCUUGCAUUUUCCUUGUUUACUUGGAUAUAAUUUCUAUUGAAAUUUUAAAAAUACAUUUUUUGACUGCUGAUAGUUUCUCUACAUGUUCUAAUGUAGUGUACAAUAUUUUGAUUAUAUACAUUCUUUUACAAAAAUGGUGAUGCAAGUUAUGAAAGUAAAAGACUGUAAAACUAUAUUAACAAAUUUUUAUUACAUCUGAAAUUUUAAAAGUGGAAAAGAAAGCCAUUCAAAAUACAACAAGUUAUCACAAUCUAAGGCACGCCAAAUUCACAAAAAUGAGAUAAACAUAGUUUCACAGUCGAUAAACUAGGUUUAUCGGUUGCAAACUAUAGUUUAUGGACUGUAAA